rnacentral:rRNA from 1 species
UAGAUACCCUGGUAGUCCACGCCGUAAACGAUGGGUACUAGGUGUAGGUGGUUUAGAUACCAUCUGUGCCGCAGUUAACGCAUUAAGUACCCCGCCUGGGGAGUACGAUGGCAACAUUGAAACUCAAAGGAAUUGACGGGGGCCCGCACAAGCAGCGGAGCAUGUGGUUUAAUUCGAAGCAACGCGAAGAACCUUACCAGGGCUUGACAUCCUCUGAAGGCACUAGAGAUAGUGCUGUCCCUUCGGGGCA